rnacentral:lncRNA from 1 species
AGCCCUCACCGCGAGCAGUGUGUCAUGGCUGCCUCAGACAGGCCCUCGGCUGGCCGGUUCUGCCAUGCACCUCUGGCGCACACACCCCUUCACACUCCUCUCCAAGCCCCCAAGACUGCUCUCUUCUAAGAACUCCAGGAGUAAUGAUACCAUGGACAAUCUUAUACUUUUGCCUCCAGUUGUGAUGUAAUUUGACAGGCUGAGCUCCUCCUGUUACCAUCAUCCUUACUGUCAGCUAAAAGCUUAUUGAGAAAAAAAGAAAAAGAAAAAAAGAAGAAGAAGAAAAAGCCGAACUGUAACUUACCAACCAACCCAAGCCAAAUAACACUUUGGAAAGCAAUGUGGUUACAAAAGCAAUAAAUGAAUGGCUUAGCCCUUCUUGUGUCUUAGA